UGGACGGCAACGGGUUUUUGUCGUUUCCUCUGUUUUGGGCCAGCCGAAGCGGAACGACUGUCAGGCUAGCCACGUCCU
rnacentral:sRNA from 12 species